UGGGGUGUGACUCAGUCGGCAGAGUGCUUGCUUCACAAGUCCAAAACCCUAGGUCCAAUCCCCAGCACCUCAU
rnacentral:tRNA from 1 species